rnacentral:rRNA from 1 species
CCUACGGGGGGCAGCAGUGAGGAAUAUUGGUCAAUGGACGAGAGUCUGAACCAGCCAAGUAGCGUGAAGGAUGACUGCCCUAUGGGUUGUAAACUUCUUUUAUAUGGGAAUAAAACGUUCCACGUGUGGGAUUUUGUAUGUACCAUAUGAAUAAGGAUCGGCUAACUCCGUGCCAGCAGCCGCGGUAAUACGGAGGAUCCGAGCGUUAUCCGGAUUUAUUGGGUUUAAAGGGAGCGUAGGUGGAUUGUUAAGUCAGUUGUGAAAGUUUGCGGCUCAACCGUAAAAUUGCAGUUGAAACUGGCAGUCUUGAGUACAGUAGAGGUAGGCGGAAUUCGUGGUGUAGCGGUGAAAUGCUUAGAUAUCACGAAGAACUCCGAUUGCGAAGGCAGUUCACUAGACUACAACUGACACUGAGGCACGAAAGUGUGGGUAUCAAACAGGAUUAGAUACCCUGGUAGUC